rnacentral:rRNA from 1 species
UGGGGAAUACUGCACAAUGGGGGAAACCCUGAUGCAGCGAUGCCGCGUGGAGGAAGAAGGUUUUCGGAUUGUAAACUCCUGUUGAAGAGGACGAUAAUGACGGUACUCUUUUAGAAAGCUCCGGCUAACUACGUGCCAGCAGCCGCGGUAAUACGUAGGGAGCGAGCGUUGUCCGGAAUUACUGGGUGUAAAGGGAGCGUAGGCGGGACGGCAAGUCAGAUGUGAAAACUAUGGGCUCAACUCAUAGACUGCAUUUGAAACUGUUGUUCUUGAGUGAGGUAGAGGUAAGCGGAAUUCCCGGUGUAGCGGUGGAAUGCGUAGAUAUCGGGAGGAACACCAGUGGCGAAGGCGGCCUACUGGGCACCAACUGACGCUGAGGCUCGAAAGUGUGGGUAGCAAACAGGAUUAGAUACCCUGGUAGUCCACACCGUAAACGAUGAUUACUAGGUGUUGGGAGGUUGACCCUCUCAGUGCCGCAGUUAACACAAUAAGUAAUCCACCUGGGGAGUACGACCGCAAGGUUGAAACUCAAAGGAAUUGACGGGGGCCCGCACAAGCAGUGGAGUAUGUGGUUUAAUUCGACGCAACGCGAAGAACCUUACCAAGUCUUGACAUCCUCUGACGAACGUAGAAAUACGUUUUCUCUUCGGAGCAGAGAGACAGGUGGUGCAUGGUUGUCGUCAGCUCGUGUCGUGAGAUGUUGGGUUAAGUCCCGCAACGAGCGCAACCCUUAUGGUCAGUUACUACGCAAGAGGACUCUGGCCAGACUGCCGUUGACAAAACGGAGGAAGGUGGGGAUGACGUCAAAUCAUCAUGCCCUUUAUGACUUGGGCUACACACGUACUACAAUGGCGUUAAACAAAGAGAAGCAAGACCGCGAGGUGGAGCAAAACUCAGAAACAACGUCCCAGUUCGGACUGCAGGCUGCAACUCGCCUGCACGAAGUCGGAAUUGCUAGUAAUCGCAGAUCAGCAUGCUGCGGUGAAUACGUUCCC